rnacentral:lncRNA from 1 species
CGCGGCCGGGGGCUGAGCCGGGGGAGGCGGAGUGCGGGCCAGCCGGGCGCUGCAGGUCGGCGCGGCGCGGGGCGGGCGGCCGGCGGGCGCGGGGCGGGGCGGGGCGGUGCAGCCGGCGAGGGAGCCCGGAACUCCGCGGGGGCCGAGGGGCCGGCGACCGGCCCCGAGCGGCGGCGGCGGCGGCGGCUGCAGCCGAGCGGCGCGUGGGCCCAGGGGCUUUCCAGCCCUGGGGCCGGCGCGGCUGGCCGGGGAGCAGCCUGGCAGCGGCAGCGGCGGCAGUGGCAGCCACCCCGGGGAAAGAGCCGGGGGAGGGCGGGGAGGCGGGGUGAAGAGGAGGAGGAGGAGAAGGAAGGGGAGGAGGGCGGGCGGAAUAAACUUCCCGAGGCGCUACGGCACGGGCUGAGAGGACAGCCGCGGGCGGGGCGGGCGCGCCGGGUGCGGGCUUGCCCGGGGGCGGCGGGGGAGACGGUCACAGAGAGUCGCAAAGUUCCCCCAGCGCCGAGGGGGAGGCUGCGGUGGCGGCGGCGGCGGCUGCAAAGAGUAGGAGCCGGAGCGGGAGGAGCGGGAGGAGGAGGAGAAGGAAGUGGCUGCGGAGCGCUCGGCCAAUGAGUGUCUGGAGCUGUGAUUAACCAGGCAGCAACACAUCAUUUCCUCCCGGCGCGGAUCCAGGGAGCCGGGAGGGAGAGGGAAGGCGGCGGGGCGGGGCUGGCCCCGCGCCCCCUGCAGGCUCCCGGCCGGGGGCGAGCCCGCCGAGCCCCGCCGAGCCUGACCCGGCCGCCCCCGGCGCGCCCCCGCGCUGUCUGGCUGGCCCGGCGGAGGCCGCGAGCGCGCCGCCCGCAGGGCUCCUCGGGCGGCGGGGAGGCGGCGGGGCAGGCCCGAGCCGGGCUCCCCGCGGCCGGGGUGGGAGGAGGAGAGGCCGCGCGGCGCGGGUGAGUGCCCAGGUUCAUUCAUGCAGCAGGCAUUUAUUGGGUGACUGUCUGCAGUACUGCAAAAGGUUGCACAGGAAAUGGAAGAUCUGGUCCCUGCAGUAUUGUUCUGGACAUCUUGGAAAAGGCACGCAGAGGGCAAAGGAAAUCUUCAUGAUUGCAAAAUACAACUGAGAGGAUAAUGAAGGAACUGAGAUCUUUUCAUUGAAGA